CUACGAUGAUAUUUGAUUAUGAUAAAACGUAUCAGCUGAAGUCAAACUAAAAGCAUCACGUAUGAACAAGACCUUACUGUGGCAGUGUAAGUUACGAAAGCCGAGUACGGAUGACGUCUUUCUGGCUCUGGGAAAAUUUUUUUCCUCGAACAAAAGGAACAAGUUCAGAACCCACUUAUCCUCGGAUCACUAAUUUGGUUGAGGUAAUAUCCGCAACUGAUUUUGAACUUUGGACCAGAGGGUAUUUGAUUAAGAACAACAGCACGUUCACAUGAAAUCAUCGUUCCAAUGGAUUGUAGCCGCAUACACGGUUUGUGUGAGAUAUCGUUCAUUGCAAUACAAUGAACUUUGCAUAUGGUUUGAACCAGUCUUUAUAUGAAAUAAAACAGAAUUCAGUAAGAAAAUUAAUGGUAUUUCGUUUCAGUACAUUGGGUAGCUCAAUCUGUUCAAGAAAUGGUUCCCACUUUUAGGACCAGCGAGGACGUCUCUUUGGUAAUUUCAAAGAAAGCUCUCGAUUUGUAACAUUGGGGCCUGAGAAUACAAAGUAAGAAGUUUGUCACUACCAUAGAUCACUGAAGAGUGGAAUUGUGUGUCGAAUUAACAUUCACCAACCUGCAG